GCUGGGCAUAGUAAAUAGCCCACAACCAUAGUCCCAGCUACUUGGGCAGCUGAGGCAGGAGAAUCACUUGAGCCCAGGAGUUCUAGGCUGUAGUACGCUAUGCCAAUCGGGAGUCUACACUAAGUUCAGCAUCAAUACUGUGAUCUCUCAAGAGCAGGGGACCACUAUGUUGCCUAAGAAGGGGUCAACUGGCCCAAGUUGGAAAUGGAGCAGGUCAAAGCCUGCAUGCUGAUGAGUAGUGGGAUUGUACCUGUAAAAAAUACACUGUACUCUAGCAUGGGCAACAUAGCAAGACCCUGUCUCUU
rfam:Pan troglodytes isolate Yerkes chimp pedigree #C0471 (Clint) chromosome 2B, whole genome shotgun sequence.